rnacentral:lncRNA from 1 species
GCUGAAGGGGAGUAAACAAGGAAGGGACUGAGGACUUGGAGCGGCCACAGGCACAAACUGUGACGGUCCCAGACACCCUGUGCUAGAGAGCUCCUGAGGAAUCUGAAGUAGGGGUGUGACGGGAGCAGAUUUGCAGUUCAGAAAGGUCGCUGGCUGCAGUGGGAAAGACGGGUGGCACGUAUUUUUAUUGGAAAAGAUAAAACACGCUCAGUAUAAAGAAUUCAGAUGGUGAAAACUGCGCAGUGACAGGUAAGUCUGCUUUCACUCUUCUCCGUCGGUUCCCAUUCUCAAAAGCAAUCACUGUCUCCGUUUUAGGGUUUUAUUCCAGAGAGAGUCCGCAUGUAAGGGCAUAUAUGUACACAUCCUGCUUUCAGCACAGCAGUAUCACGUCAUACGCUCUGAUCACCUCCUGCUUUCUGUUUAUUCGCCAUCUACGUCAUUCUGUGUUAGAACAUAGAGAGCUGCCUCGGUCUCUUUGUUGGCUGUGAGACGUUCCAUACAUCCAGCACAUUGUAUUCAGUAUUUUCCCUAUGGGUGAGCAUGGAGCCUGUUUCCAAUUUCUUGCUAUUACAAACAACCCUGGGAUUAACAUCCUCACACAUAGGAAUGUGUGCAUAGGACGAAUCCCCUGAAAUGGGAUUGCUGAGUCAAAGGGCAUGUGCGUUUAUAAAUUGUGGUAAAAAUUGUCCUCCAGUGAAGGGGAAUUCAUUCUGCACAUGGAUUCCUGUGCACGAGGAUGUUGACUGCAGCAGGUGGUCAUCCCUCUGGAGGCAGGGAGAGCGACCGGGCGAUGAUUGCAACCGUCCAGGGGAGAGAGAUGAAGCUCCAGUCUAAGCAGUCGUGGCUGGGCUGGCAAGGAAGCCAUGAUUUGGAGAAAUACCUUAGGAGGCAGAGUCAGCCUGCCCAGGUGAUAGAGAUGUGUGUGGGGGAUGACUUCCGCUGCUCUACCUUGGGAACUGAAGUAUGGAGGAUCAGUUUCCUGGGAGGAUGAGGAGGCUUGCUGUGGAGGAGCUGGGGGCAUCUGGGUGGAGACAUCCAGAGGGAAGUUGGAUGCAUGGGCCUGAGGCCAGGGAGAAGCUCUGGGUGGCGCCCAGUGGGUGUGGGAGGUGAGGCCUGUGAGCUGACGGGGCAGCCUAC